rnacentral:tRNA from 1 species
CGGGGCGUGGCGCAGCCUGGUAGCGCGCUUGCUUGGGGUGCAAGAGGUCGGCAGUUCGAAUCUGCCCGUCCCGA